ACAUUGUCACUGAAGAAACAGCUGAUGUCGGCUUACAAUCUGGAGUCCAUCAAGGCUGUUGCAUGGGGUAUCACUCAUGAAGAUGAUGCUUUGAGAAAGUAUGAAAAGGAAUUUGAUGCAGCUGUAGAGCAGUCAGGAUAUGGUUGCAUGAAUCCGGAGUGUUGGGAGCUUCACCUGAUGGGUUAGUUGUUCGACCACCAACAUGCAGUGUAUUUUAUCAAACCCCAGAAGCCAAAGACGCCAUUCCUGAUAUUGUAGAGGUGAAGUGUCCAUAUACAGCAUUGUCUUCAACAGUAGCAGAUGGGGCACAAAAUUUGAAGGAUUUUUCAUAGAUCUUAAACAAGAUACCCUGUGCCUGAAAACCAGUCACCCAUACUAUCAUCAAAUUCAAGGCCAGCUACACAUAUGUAACAAAACAUUCUGCGACUUAAUUGUGUGGACAAGAGUAGACUGCAUUGUGAUUAGAAUAGUAAAAGACAUUGAAUGGACAGCAAAUGUUCCAAAGCUGAUAGAUUUCUACAUUAACAUUUUCAUUCCAGCACUGAUGGAAAACUGAGUUCUGGUUUGAACUUCUUGACACUUAGUUUUGUACCUCUAGAAUUUUCUAACAAUGGAAAAUGGGUAAUCAUGUUAAAUGUGUUGAAUGUUCCUAAGUCUCAUAAAUGUAUGAUAUGAUAUGUCACAAUCCAUCAUAAAACUUCUGGCUUAUAAGACUAUUUUAAAUAGCAAUGAUGAUUAAUAAAAUCUAUGUACUACAUAAAAAAAGAAU